CUUGUAUUGACGGGGAAAUACACAUGUCCUUCCCAUGCCUGAUAGAACACAUAGCUGGUUUUUAUCUGAAAAGAAGAGGAAAGUUAUAUUGGAACUUCCUAAUAUCGUUUGUGGCUAUCAAAUUCAGGUGGAAAAGAGUUUGUUCCAGAGUGUGGCACAUCGCUGUAGUUCCAACUCACCUGGCCCUACAACAAGACCAAGAUGACAUUUUGGGCAAAUGGGGAUCUAUGAAGAGAAAAGAAGAGACAAGGUGGAAAGAUUAGGGGAAGUGUGGAAGAUGAGACAGACCGUCUUCCUGUGGGCCAUGUGGGAGAGAAGAGAUGACACAAGGAGAGUCAAGAUCACUUUUCACUGAACGGG
rnacentral:lncRNA from 1 species